UACGAAGGGGGCUAGCGUUGUUCGGAAUUACUGGGCGUAAAGAGCUCGUAGGCGGUUCGAUAAGUCGGGUGUGAAAACUCUGGGCUCAACUCAGAGACGCCAACCCGAUACUGUUGUGACUUGAGUCCGGUAGGGGAGUAUGGAAUUCCCGGUGUAGCGGUGAAAUGCGCAGAUAUCGGGGAGGAACACCAGUGGCGAAGGCGGUACUCUGGGCCGGAACUGACGCUGGAGGAGCGAAAGCGUGGGUAGCGAACAGG
rnacentral:rRNA from 1 species